CCCUCGGUAAGUAUAGUGGUCAGUAUAUCCCAGCCUGUCACGCGGGAGACCUGGGGUUCGAUUCCCCGCCGGAGAGU